rnacentral:lncRNA from 1 species
GCUGAAGGGGAACAUCAUCUUCCUCUGAAAAAUAAUCCAGCAGGAACCAAUGCUGAAUAAUUGGGCUUCAUGAGAAUGUCACUGUCAAGUCUCAAAAUAUAUGGAGAGAUAAUUAAUUUUAUUUUUUCUGUCUUAUCCAUUUUCAGCAUGUUCAUGUCCACGUUCUUCCCAGAAAGGCUGGAGACUUUCGCAGGAAUGACAGCAUCUACGAUGAGCUGGAGAAACACGACAAAGAGGAGGAAGACCGCCCGGCCUCUUGGAGAUCCGAGGAGGAAAUGGCAGGCGAAGCAGCUGUGCUCAGGGCCUACUUCCAGUGACAGCGGCAUGAAAGUAACUCAAACAAAUCCCAAGGCAUAAGGAAAUGGGCCUCGUUCUGUAGGACUCUGCAGCACUGGAAAUGAAGCCAAGCGACUUGAUUACAUCCUACAAUUCUGCAACCUUUGGCGAAGCGUUUUAUUGUACUUGUGGAAGCCACUGGGGCUAUGUUUCAAUCACGAUGACUGACAGGCUAACUUCAAAACAAUGGUACUGAUGCUCUUCCACUUCCCCAGCUCUGUUCUCAGAAUAGAACCUUUUCCAAAUUGUCCUUUAGCCCGCAUGAAAAUAAAAUGGUAGUUCAAAUGUUUUAUCUCGUGUACUAGCUAACUUAAAAAUGGGUAUUUUGGGGGCCCCUGAAAGGCACACUGAGGAGUCGCUCUCUUAGAGCUAGUGUGCGUGCUGAAUUCCAAAUUUUGUUACAGUGGAGAUAAAAUGGACAGAGUUUCCAUUUUGAUAGGAAAGGUAACAGAACAAGAAAUGUAUAACGUUUCCUCAGUUAUAUUCUCCACCAAGCAAGGCUAAAAGAGUUUAAGAUGGCAAACUUAGCUUCAAAGAGCACAUGACCAUGUAAUGCAGCGACAAGACACCUUGGACUGGGCUGUCUGCAUGGGAGGAUUGUAAGGAAAAGGAAAGAGGAGUCCUCUGGGAUUUGCUCAGGGAGCAAACCCCUCACCCAUAAUUGACAAUUUCUUCAAGGGAGAAUAACAGAAAUCAGAUCUUUCCUCUCUUGCUUGUUAAUAAAAGGAGAAUUAGGGUUUAUAUCAAAAAAUAAAACCUACCUAUACAGCAUGGCUACACAUAACUGAAGACAGGAUCUUUCUUUUGCACAAAAAGCCCCUGAGUAUCUCCUCAGGCUUAUGGGUGACUACCCAGCCCAGCCAACAGAUGUUGGUGACCCACCAGUCUUGCCUGUCUUCAUACUCCUGCUCUGCUCUCUGGGUUUCUCUCCCCCGUAUGACCCUUGUAAGAACAUAUGUCAUGGGGUUUGGGGCCACUUAGAAAACCCAGGAUGGCUUCCUCGAGAUCUCAAGAUCCUUAAUUCAAUCCCAAGGCAGAGUCCCACUUUCCAAAUGGGAUUUGACAUGGACAUGUCUUUUAGGGCUACCAUUUAACCUCCGAUCCAGGAGCACUGGAAUUGAACUGUUUCUGACCCGGGAUAAGCCAGAAGGCUGCGUCCACUCAAUAGUGUCUAUUUAAGAUCUGGUUCUAUGCCUGUGCAAAUCCCCAGUUAUUGACAAAGAUUGAGGCUGCCUUCUUCGGGCUGUGAAUACCCCGGUUCCCAGGCCAGGUCUAAGAUGCCUCUCUUGCAGCCAAAAACAAGAAGCAUUUAUUCGAUCUGAACAGGGCUUUCACCUCAGUGAGACACUCACUUUUUCACCAUCUGAAAGAACUGGCCCUAAACAAAAGAGCCCUAAGAAGACAACUCUUCUUAUGCACUGAAGCUCAAACAUGGAUUCCAAGUUAGAUGUUGAUAGCAAAUGUGGCCAGAUUCCCAGCCUCUCCCUCCAGGGCCAAUUCCACAUUUCAUUCGUUGUCUUUGAACCAAAUAGCAAAUAUACACUUAAUCACAAGGAACAGCUCUUGAGUCGUACUGCAAACCUAUUUGCAGUUUUGUCUUCCACUUUGUCUAUGCAUUAAACCUCACAGGAGCCCCCCACUUCCGCCUUUCUAUCUGAGGAUGUCCUCACAUCCAAUUCCUCUCUAAGACUGGCAGGAUUUGGAGGCUGUACAAGCUAGAGAUGUGAAGCUCAGCCUUGAAGAAGUAUUUCCAUGCUAGCCCCAGGAGGCCAUAGGCAUUCUAGCGUAACAAAAGCUGUUUCUGCAGAACUAAAUGAAGCCUGGUGAACCCAAUAUGGGAAAAAACAACCGACUUUAUUUGAUAUGGAGAAAGUAGUCUGCAUGCAGAAAAUAUCAAAAGGCAAUGGAAAACAGUGCUUACAUCCAGAACAAUGUCUGUGGAAGUGGCCUUCUCUCUGAUUCCUUAUAAGGCAUAAAUACUAGGUUGUUUGUGAUCUUCUCAAGUGCUGGAGAACCGCUAAUUUUAUGUCAAGCAAUGGAGAACUAGACAUGUGUUUGGGCAUCUACUUUGUUGUACUACUCAGACAAAAACAGCAUAGCAGGUUCUCCUAAGAUUGAUGACAUUUCAAAGGAUUCUUCUGUUUAUCUUUGUGAGCUGGAUUUUCAAACUCUAAGCUUGUUCCUAUCUUUAUUGUUAAACUUGCCAUCAAAGACCAAAUCACAGGAAAGAAUAAUCCAUUUUUAGCAAAGAGCUGGAAAGGUCCCAGUGAUUGUAUACCCCACAGGAGACCCAAACUUACAGAACAAUACUUCUCAAACCUGGAGUUAUUUCAGUGAUAAGACAGUGUGGGCCUCAUUAGUGGAAACCCCUCCCAUCUAUCCUUCUAUGUAUCCGCGCUUCAAACUAAAGUCUGAGAAGGGGCCUGCUUCCUCCAGGAGUCUGCUGAGUGUACCCAUUCAACAUGCUGGUAAAAGAAGAACUGAUGUUUUGUUGUGUGUUUAUUCCACAUACAUUUGCAAAUGUUCUUUUAUCUAAUUCACACAAGAUCUCUACACAAUAUAUGUGGAGAUACAGGCUCAUAAAGGUUUAGCAACUUGCUCAAGGUCACAAAGUUGGUAACAUGGUGGAGCUGAGGUUUGAACUGAGGUCCGACUCCUAAAAUCCAUGUUCUUUGAAGAAUUACUAAGGUGCUCAGCAAACUUAAUGCAUACCAUUCCCAGUUUCUCUCCUGAACUGUCUAUUGAAUUGGCAGGCUGCUCUUUUGUGCUGAUGUCCAAGGGAAAAGUGGAGGGAAAGGCAGGGAAUUUUCACAUAUUUUUGAGGUGAAGUAUUCCUUUAAAUCAUGUAAAUGUAGGUAGUGGCAUUUCUAUAAUUUAUAGUACUUUUAUCCUUA